CAGUCGCCACGGUAAUACAGAGGGUGCAAGCGUUAAUCGGAAUUACUGGGCGUAAAGCGCGCGUAGGUGGUUUGUUAAGUUGGAUGUGAAAUCCCCGGGCUCAACCUGGGAACUGCAUCCAAAACUGGCAAGCUAGAGUAUGGUAGAGGGUGGUGGAAUUUCCUGUGUAGCGGUGAAAUGCGUAGAUAUAGGAAGGAACACCAGUGGCGAAGGCGACCACCUGGACUGAUACUGACACUGAGGUGCGAAAGCGUGGGGAGCAAACAGGAUUAGAGACCCCCGUAGUCCCUGUCUCUUAUAC
rnacentral:rRNA from 1 species